CCGACGUCCUCAGACAUGGAUGGACUUUGAAUACUGACUUGGCUGUUGACCUGGCUGUUCUAUAUGACUCUGGGUAAUACUAUUCUGUAUAGGUAAUACUAUUCCGUAUAGAGGGCUUGCAGUUGCGUCACAAAUCACCUAGCAAGCAGAGUCAAUCUGGUGGAAUUCCUCCAAUCGUCCACAUGGCUAGUUGUGUUUUGCUACCACCAGAAUCUUCGGGAAGAUUGCCCAUUAUUUCAUGUUUCUAAGGACCCAGAAAAUGGAGUCAGUGGGAGAACCUAUUCAAAUACAGAAAGCCGUGAAACCCUGUCUGCAGAUGAAGAUGAAGUCCCAAUGAAUGUCCCAAGAGAAUAAGGGUGGUGAAAUGUCUGGAAGCAGGAGAGAAUGGGAUCCUUAGCUCAAAACAUACACACAACUACCAAGUUCAAUGCCAGAUACUUUUCUCCCAGAAGGUCUGAGUGGCACUUGGAGGUGCCACUAUAGUAAUGAAGAUGGUUUGUGUAAGACUACCACAACAAUUACAUUGUCUAUGCUAAAUGUGUUUAGAUUGUAAAAGAAAGAAUAGUUAGGCUAUAAGAAAUACAUUGUAUUAAAUGGAGCAAAGCAGAGAUGACACAAAAUACUUUUCAUUUCACCCAUACAACAAUAUAGCCUAUUA